AUACGAAGGGGGCUAGCGUUGUUCGGAAUUACUGGGCGUAAAGCGCGCGUAGGCGGACUGAUCAGUUAGGGGUGAAAUCCCAGGGCUUAACCCUGGAACUGCCUCUAAUACUGUCAGUCUUGAGUUCGUGAGAGGUGAGUGGAAUUCCUAGUGUAGAGGUGAAAUUCGUAGAUAUUAGGAAGAACACCAGUGGCGAAGGCGACUUCCUGGCCAAAAACUGACGCUGAGGUGCGAAAGCGUGGGUAGCAAACGGAAUUAGAUACCCCUGUAGUCC
rnacentral:rRNA from 1 species